AUUGAACGCUGGCGGCAUGCCUAACACAUGCAAGUCGAACGGCAGCACGGGGGCUUUCACCUGUUUGCUAGUGGCGAACGGGUGAGUAAUAAAUCUGAACAUGUCUUCUUGUUGGGGGGAGCCCGGUGAAAGCCGGAGUAACACCGCAUACGAUCCGCGGCAGGAACCGGGAGAGCGUCGUGCCGCGCUCUUGCGGUUGGGUCGACGGGUGAUUAGCUAGUUGGUGGGGUAACGGCCUACCUAGGCGACGAUCAGUAGCUGGUCUGAGAGGACGACCAGCCACACUGGGACUGAGACACGGUCCAGACUCCUACGGGAGGCAGCAGUGGGGAAUUUUGGACAAUGGGCGAAAGCCUGAUGCAGCAAUGCCGCGUGUGUGAAGAAGGCCUUCGGGUUGUAAAGUACUUUUAUCCGGGAGGAAAUGAGUAGAGUUAAUACGGUCGGGGAAUGACGUUACCGGAAGAAGAAGCACCGGCUAACUACGUG
rnacentral:rRNA from 1 species